rnacentral:rRNA from 1 species
CGCAAUGGGCGCAAGCCUGACGGAGCGACGCCGCGUGAUUGAUGAAGUCUUUCGGGAUGUAAAGAUCUUUUAUGGGGGAGGACGUUAUCGACGGUACCCCAUGAAUAAGGAGCUGCCAAUCUCGUGCCAGCAGCCGCGGUAAUACGAAGGCCCCAAGCGUUAUCCGGAAUUACUGGGCGUAAAGCGUCUGUAGGUGGUUUGGAAAGUUUCAAGUGAAAGGUCAGGGCUCAACCCUGUACUUGCUUGGAAAACUAUCAGACUUGAGUGCGGGAGAGGCAAGCAGAAUGGUAAGAGUAGGGGUGCAAUCCGUUGAUACUUACCAGAAUACCAAAAGCGAAGGCAGCUUGCUGGAACGCUACUGACACUGAGAGACGAAAGCGU